AUUGAACACUGGCGGCAGGCCUAACACAUGCAAGUCGAGCGGAUGAGGGAAGCUUGCUUCCCGAUUUAGCGGCGGACGGGUGAGUAAUGCCUAGGAAUCUGCCUAUUAGUGGGGGAUAACGUUCCGAAAGGAACGCUAAUACCGCAUACGUCCUACGGGAGAAAGUGGGGGAUCUUCGGACCUCACGCUAAUAGAUGAGCCUAGGUCGGAUUAGCUAGUUGGUGAGGUAACGGCUCACCAAGGCGACGAUCCGUAGCUGGUCUGAGAGGAUGAUCAGCCACACUGGAACUGAGACACGGUCCAGACUCCUACGGGAGGCAGCAGUGGGGAAUAUUGGACAAUGGGCGAAAGCCUGAUCCAGCCAUGCCGCGUGUGUGAAGAAGGUCUUCGGAUUGUAAAGCACUUUAAGUUGGGAGGAAGAGUUGUAAGCUAAUAUCUUGCAGCUUUGACGUUACCAACAGAAUAAGCACCGGCUAACUCUGUGCCAGCAGCCGCCGUAACAC
rnacentral:rRNA from 1 species